CUGCUCACAACAUGUGUAAAAUUAUUAGUGCAGGCAGAGCCGAUCCAGACCUCCCUGGGGCCCUAAGCAAAAUUCUCCUCGUACCUGACCUGUCAGCCAUGUAAACCAUUUGCCACACAUUCACACUUGACAGAAUCUCCUCUACUAACAAAUUUCAGCAUAGCACCUGUAAGUUAUAGAUAACUACUAUUAUUCAUUUUAUAAGCUGCAUUAGGCCCCACUUAAACUGCCUCCCUCAGAUUCCUUUUAAUCCAUGCAUGUCCAUUUUCAAAUAUAAAAUACUAUUUAUAUUAUGACUUUGCUCUUGCAAUAUUCAACUAGUGAAUAUGCAAUAGCAGAUAGCAGAAAUUAUUUUUACUAGUGUAAAAUGUAAUUCCUGAUAUCAAAAAUAUGGUUACUACUAGAAAUCACACUCUUAAUAUUUACAUUUUAAGUAUUGAAAACUGAAUUCUUGAUAUCAAAAAUCCAUAUCAUGUGAAUGUAUAAAAGCUGAAAUGGCUUGCCAUGCCGUAUCACUGUGUUCUAUAGUAUGCAUGAGAGCAAUACUUGAUCCCUGAUGGUUAUUAUUUACUGAGGGAUGUGCAUUCAUAUUGACCUGGUAUUAUGCCCAUUCCAGUGUAAAUCCAUUGGUUUCCAUAUUGCAUUAACGUUGUUGUAAACGUGAUAGAGAGACUAUAAACAUUGUCAUUUAGGAGCGCUAUCACGCUACAUUUUGUACUGGUCCCCACACAGAUGUUGCUGCUGGAAAGUGCGGUUAUCGAGCUGCCAUUUAUAAACACUGUUGCCAUAAAAAAAGACUGUUGCCCUUGGGCAUUUAUUCUCACGAAUGUUCACGCAAUAAAUUGUUGUGUGACAGACAGACAGGCCAAGAGAUGCACUGGCAGCACUGCACAGCUAAUUUAGCUAGUCAGAUAGAGACUAGAGAGAGAAUCACAUCAACUAACUUUACUGUUACAGUAUUUGCUCUUGCUGACAUCAAACUUGAAGAGAACAAAUGUUUACCUGAUUGCUGUUCUGACAUUUCACUCUCAUUUUGUUUUGUUUUUUUUCACUUUUAAUGGCCAGAUGGAUAACUCCGCAUCAUAUUGUCACAUCUACACAGCAGGGGCAAUUCUAGGGUCAGAGCUUUAGGGGUGCUGAGCUCCUUUGUAGGGUUGCUGAAGCUAAGGAUAUGAUCAAAAGGCACACCGAGGCAUGUCAUUUUAAAUGUCAGAGAGAUAGAACAAGAGAGAGAGAGAGAGAGAGAGAGAGAGAGAGAGAGAGAGAGAGAGAGAGAGAGAGAGAGUAAGCCUGGUUCAGGUUAAAUCCUCUGUGUGUGAGGAAUGAAUAAAUAAAGCAAAAGAAAAACAUUAAACUUUCUUUUAUUGUCUAGUUUGAUAGUCAGCCACAAGUGAAAAAUAACAGAUCUAAAUCUAGGAAUGAAUAACAAUUCAUUUAAAAAGCCACAGUGAGUGUUUUCACACAUACUGCUGGUAUACAGUGAUAUGGCGUUUGUUUACACUCUGGUCCAAACGCCAGGGCUUCAUGUUUCCAUGACGACUGACCAGAAAAGACGCACGUGACGUCAUGUUUACAUGACUCCCGAUUGUUAAAAUGCGUAUCAAAUUAACGAUAAACUUUACCAACAGAGACACACGUACGCACUACACAGGUUCAGAAAGUUCUAAUUCAUGGAUCUUCUGGGUGGUUGUUGUGGUGACAGCUGGACUGAUUUUGGCUGUUGUGAUUUUCAGCAGGAGACACGUCCACACUGAGCCGCUCAUGGAGGACGAUUCAGACAUCUACACCACAGUACAGUACGAUACAUUCACCAUGAACUGAUCACACCUUCACACCUCACCUACUUCAGUACACACUUCUGUAUGUGAACUUCACCUGAGAGCAAAAAGCUAAAGGAUCUGAGCUCCUUAUUUCUCUAGAGAGAUUUCACAAAGUCAUAAUGAAUUAAUAAACCAAGUGUGUUUGUGUGUAUGUGUGUGUUGGUUUGUGUGUGUGUGUGUGUGUGUGUGUGUGUGUGUGUGUGUGUGUGUGUGUGUGUGUGUGUAUGU